GCCCAGGUGGUGGAACUGGUAGACACACCAGCUUGAGGGGCUGGCGCCGCGAGGCGUAAGGGUUCGAAUCCCUUCUUGGGCA
rnacentral:tRNA from 3 species